rnacentral:tRNA from 1 species
GGUUCAGUCCCUCUAUCCCCA